UACGUAGGUGGCAAGCGUUGUCCGGAUUUACUGGGCGUAAAGAGCGCGCAGGCGGUCGUUCAAGUCGCGUGUGAAAGCCCCCGGCUCAACUGGGGAGGGUCACGCGAUACUGAUCGACUCGAAGGCAGGAGAGGGUAGUGGAAUUCCCGGUGUAGUGGUGAAAUGCGUAGAUAUCGGGAGGAACACCGGUGGCGAAGGCGGAUCUCUGGGCCGUAACUGACGCUGAGGAGCGAAAGCAUGGGGAGCGAACAGG
rnacentral:rRNA from 1 species